rnacentral:rRNA from 1 species
GACGAACGCUGGCGGCGUGCUUAACACAUGCAAUCGAACGAUGAACCCGGAGCUUGCUCCGGUGGAUUAGUGGCGAACGGGUGAGUAACACGUGAGUAACCUGCCCUUGACUCUGGGAUAACUGCGGGAAACUGUAGCUAAUACCGGAUACGACCCUCGGCGGCAUCGCCAGGGGGUGGAAAGAAUUUCGGUCAAGGAUGGACUCGCGGCCUAUCAGCUAGUUGGUGAGGUAACGGCUCACCAAGGCGACGACGGGUAGCCGGCCUGAGAGGGCGACCGGCCACACUGGGACUGAGACACGGCCCAGACUCCUACGGGAGGCAGCAGUGGGGAAUAUUGCACAAUGGGCGCAAGCCUGAUGCAGCGACGCCGCGUGAGGGAUGAAGGUCUUCGGAUUGUAAACCUCUUUCAGUAGGGACGAAGCGAAAGUGACGGUACCUAAAGAAGAAGCACCGGCUAACUACGUGCCAGCAGCCGCCGUAA